rnacentral:rRNA from 1 species
UACAGAGGUCUCAAGCGUUGUUCGGAUUCAUUGGGCGUAAAGGGUGCGUAGGCGGCGCGGUAAGUCGGGUGUGAAAUCUCGGAGCUUAACUCCGAAACUGCAUUCGAUACUGCCGUGCUUGAGGACUGGAGAGGAGACUGGAAUUUACGGUGUAGCGGUGAAAUGCAUAGAUAUCGUAAGGAAGACCAGUGGCGAAGGCGGGUCUCUGGACAGUUCCUGACGCUGAGGCACGAAGGCCAGGGGGAGCAAACGGG